UACGUAGGGUGCAAGCGUUGUCCGGAAUUAUUGGGCGUAAAGAGCUCGUAGGCGGCCUGUUGCGUCCGCUGUGAAAGCCCGGGGCUUAACCCCGGGUCGGCAGUGGAUACGGGCAGGCUAGAGGUAGGUAGGGGAGAAUGGAAUUCCCGGUGUAGCGGUGAAAUGCGCAGAUAUCGGGAGGAACACCGGUGGCGAAGGCGGUUCUCUGGGCCAAUAUUGACGCUCAGGCACGAAAGCGUGGGGAGCAAACAGG
rnacentral:rRNA from 1 species